GUAUUGUAUUGCGUUAAACGCGACAUACAUUCCAUGAGACUUUAUAAAUAUGUGUGUGUGUAAAGAAGUAGAACCACAGCGGGAGGACAGAGUCCCCCACACCACAGAACUACAGAGGGUGCACAGGUGUGAGUGGGUGUGUAAACAGAGCGUGCACAUGCCCCCGUUUGGGGACCAGCAACAACUCGUGUCGACAGUUCAGUAAUGAUCCUUCCGCAGGUUCACCUACGGAAA
rnacentral:misc_RNA from 1 species